rnacentral:tRNA from 1 species
GCGAGCGUAGUUCAAUGGUAAAACAUCUCCUUGCCAAGGAGAAGAUACGGGU